CAGUAGCCGCGGGAAUACAGAGGAUGCAAGCGUUAUCCGGAAUUAUUGGGCGUAAAGCGCGCGCAGGCGGAUCAGUCAGUCUGUCUUAAAAGUUCGGGGCUUAACCCCGUGAGGGGAUGGAAACUGCUGAUCUAGAGUAUCGGAGAGGAAAGUGGAAUUCCUAGUGUAGCGGUGAAAUGCGUAGGUAUUAGGAAGAACACCAGUGGCGAAGGCGACUUUCUGGACGAAAACUGACGCUGAGGCGCGAAAGCCAGGGGAGCGAGCGGGAUUAGAUACCCCAGUAGUCCCUGUCUCUUAUACA
rnacentral:rRNA from 1 species